AACGAACGCUGGCGGCAUGCCUAACACAUGCAAGUCGAACGAGACCUUCGGGUCUAGUGGCGCACGGGUGCGUAACGCGUGGGAACCUGCCCUUAGGUUCGGAAUAACUCCCCGAAAGGGGUGCUAAUACCGGAUAAUGUCCUCGGACCAAAGAUUUAUCGCCUUUGGAUGGGCCCGCGUUGGAUUAGCUAGUUGGUAGGGUAAAAGCCUACCAAGGCGACGAUCCAUAGCUGGUCUGAGAGGAUGAUCAGCCACACUGGGACUGAGACACGGCCCAGACUCCUACGGGAGGCAGCAGUGGGGAAUAUUGGACAAUGGGCGAAAGCCUGAUGCAGCAAUGCCGGGUGAGUGAUGAAGGCCUUAGGGUUGUAAAGCUCUUUUACCCGGGAUGAUAAUGACAGUACCGGGAGAAUAAGCUCCGGCUAACUCCGUG
rnacentral:rRNA from 1 species